CAUUUUUAUAUACACAAUUUUGUUUUUCUUGGUAAUGUUUUCCAUUUGUUUUUUGUUCUUUUUUUUAUUAUUAUUAUUAUUUUUCUUUCUUUCUUUUUUCAUGGCAAAACAUUCACUUUGGGGCAGAGUCCAGAGAAAUUCAUUAGGCUUUCUUUUAAUGUAGAUAGUGACAAGGUUUACUCCGCUGGACAAUCCUGCAGACCCCGCACAAGUCCUCUGGGCUCUGUGCCCUCUCCUUCCCAUCACCCCCAGCCCCCAGCCUGUUCCCUUCCAUCGGGGCUAAGGGGAACAACGCACCCUGUGUCCUCAGUGCUACCUCACAAUGACACCUGCUGGUGGCACCGCCCUGGGAGCAGCGCAGCUCCUCUGGUGCUCAGCUGUGUCUUUGUGAUGCCUACAGAAUGUUUCAAAUAUAUAUAGAAACAAAUAGGCAUUUAGAUGCUGCCCAGACUUCCCCUGAAUACUAUGUGAAUGCAGUGCCACAAGCUGAGGCAAUCGUCAUGGGCAGUCAAUUUCCCAUGUUAUGAGAAUUGUGGUUUUGGUGGACUCGGGUUUUGUUGUGACAUUCGCACUGGGGAGAUGAGCUGUGACUAAAUAAGAAUGACUCUGAGGUCUGCCUACACAGGAUGUCUGAAGGGUAGCCCCCAUCUGGUUCUCAUGUCAAAAAAGUACAAAACCAUGACUGAGAGACUGUUCUGUUGGCCUGGGAGGGAAUGGGGAGAGACAUUUAAGAGAAAUGUGUCCGGCUGCAAGGAGACAAUUGUACAGCCUCAAUUAGACCUUCAACUGCUGGAACAUAAAGAGCUGUUGGUGCAGUUCUAGAUCACCUGCUUUUCAAGAUGCUACUACUACUUCUUCAGUUUCCACAGGUGAAAGCCUCCACCAACAGGAAUGUGAAGCUGGUAAGAACCCCUGAUACAUCCUCUGUGGCCACAGGGUACAAUCCACCACAAGCAGCAGCAAGAUUAGCAUAAAAGGAUGCUGUGUGUCCUUAUCUGCUCAUAUUUCCCUCAGGUGCCUUUUAAAGCCUCUGGAAGAGCGCUCUGCCCUGUGCUUCAUUGCUUUUGAUGACAACAUGGGAACUCCUGCCAUUCUGAUUUGAAGUGUCAAGGAAAAGCAAUUCCUGUGAUACUGGUGCUCUUGCUCUUUCAUAGCUUCCUGCCAUGAUGUGUGAGGUCCAACUGAUCCUGGAGCUUUCACUCAGAGUGGGGAUUUAGGGCCAGGAGAGCCCCUGAGAGAGAGAGGUGUUACACAGAACAAUUAGGGAGUCAAAGCCCACUGUGGAUCUGUGGAGGUUCAUGAUGUGAUUCCUUACCAAAGUGAACUAAAUCAGAGCAAGCAGAUUAAAACCUGUAUGAAGAUCAGACAUAGGCCCCAUGUGGGAAAACACAAAACACUUUAGACAAUUGUGUGGAGGGCAGGGAACAGAAAAAGGUAAUAUUCUGCCUGACAGUGGUCUUGAUAACCUGGCAAACAAGGUGAAAACUGGGAAUAUAAACAUCCUGUUUUAAAAAACAACAACAACAAAAACAAAACAAAAAAACCCUGAAAAACAGACAAUCUCUUGACAUUUACGAAAGACUUGAUCUUCUAAUGAAAUUAAAUACUGAGGAAAACCUAACAUAUCUGAACAGUGCUUGUAGAGACACCCUGGGGAAGGAAGACAACUCCAAGAGUAUUAUAAAAGCCAUCCUCUUGCAGUGCAAGAGGAAGAGGAUUGCAGACUUCAAAAGUUGAACUGGAGGAACCGCUUAGAAGGACAACAUUUAAUUCUUUCCUGUCAUGUCAGUGAUCUAUAUGCUGAGGACAUAAUUUAUUCCUGAAAAAUGCUCCUACAGGAGAAGGGACAUGGGCGUUAAUCUCACAUAGAUCAAGGGAAUGCUUUGGAAAUGCAUCACAAGUAUCCUGAGGUUUAGAUUCUAGAAACAAAUUCUUCUUUGAGAAAAAGACCCUUGAGCUGGACUUAAUCCACAGUACUGCCACUCAGGGACCAACUGUAAUCUGUUUAGGCCCAUAUCUUGUAUUUACAAGUACCAGAAUCAAAUACCGACAGUACUCAGUAGUGCAUAAUUAAAUUCUUACUCCCCUCUGAAGUCAUUGGCAAAACUUCCACUGACUUCAAUAGUGCUGGAUUAAGCCUUAACAGAAUAUCAUGAGAAUUUGAAAAGCAAAUUGGAUCCAAAUUUUGCAAAUGGUUACUUGUCUCUUUUGUGGAUCAAACCAUAUCUAAAAAAAAAUCAACGUUACUGUGAAUGAAAUCAGGAUAUGUAUUCAUAGUGUGUGUUCUGAAUGCUUUUACAGAAGUUAUACAAAAUUGAGUCACUUAGGGGACUGCAGCAAUAAUAAGAGUUGUGUAAAUACCAUGUAGCAAAAAUAUUCCAUGGUUAGCCUGUUCUUUUUGGCACAAUCCAUCUGGCAGAAACUUAUACAUUUAUUUUGUUGUUUCUCAUGGGCUCAUGGUGAAUAAUUUCUGCUCUGCAGAUGGUUGUGAUGUGGAUGAUUCUUUAAGUCCAGUUUCAAGCUUUAGCUCUGUGGCUUAAAGUAACAAACUGUAUUCCGAUGACAGGAUCUCUGAGAAGCUGAUUUUCAAUAUUAAUUUUGAAAUAAAUUCCAUUGCUUUAUAGGUAUAUUUCUCA
ensembl:lncRNA